ACGGGUGCGGAACACGUACGCAACCUUCCUUCAAGCGGGGGAUAGCUUUCGGAAACGAAAAUUAAUACCCCAUAGAAUUGUCUGAGGGCAUCUGAGGAUAAUUAAAGAUUUAUCACUUGAAGAUGGGCGUGCGCCUGAUUAGGUAGUUGGCGGGGUAACGGCCCACCAAGCCUACGAUCAGUAACUGGUGUGAGAGCACGACCAGUCACACGGGCACUGAGACACGGGCCCGACUCCUACGGGAGGCAGCAGUAAGGAAUAUUGGUCAAUGGACGCAAGUCUGAACCAGCCAUGCCGCGUGGAGGAUGAAGGUCCUCUGGAUUGUAAACUUCUUUUAUCGGAGAAGAAACCCCUGAAUUCUUUUAGGGUUGACGGUACCCGAUGAAUAAGCACCGGCUAACUCCGUGCCAGCAGCCGCGGUAAUACGGAGGGUGCAAGCGUUAUCCGGAUUCACUGGGUUUAAAGGGAGCGUAGGUGGGCUGGUAAGUCAGUGGUGAAAUCUCCGGGCUUAACUCGGAAACUGCCGUUGAUACUAUCAGUCUUGAAUGUUGUGGAGGUAAGCGGAAUAUGUCAUGUAGCGG
rnacentral:rRNA from 1 species